CACCGCGGUUAUAGAGAGGCCCUAAUUGAUAAACACGGCGUAAAGAGUGGUUACGGGAUCCGCACACUAAAGUCGAAACCCCCUCUAACUGUUAUACGCACUCAGGGGCCCUAAUUUCUUUUACGAAAGUGACUUUACUUAUGUCUACCAGAACCCACGACAGCUAGGGCA
rnacentral:rRNA from 1 species